UACGGAGGGUGCAAGCGUUGUUCGGAAUCACUGGGCGUAAAGGGCGUGUAGGCGGUCCGCUAAGUCUGAUGUGAAAGCCCGGGGCUCACCCCCGGAAGGGCAUUGGAAACUGGCGGACUCGAGUCCCGGAGAGGAAGGUGGAAUUCCUGGUGGAGCGGUGAAAUGCGCAGAUAUCAGGAGGAACACCCGUAGCGAAGGCGGCACUGUGGGCCGGAACUGACGCUGCGGAGCGAAAGCGUGGGGAGCGAACAGG
rnacentral:rRNA from 1 species